rnacentral:rRNA from 1 species
UACGGAAGGGGCAAGCGUUGUUCGGAAUCAUUGGGCGUAAAGGGCGUGUAGGCGGUCUCAUGUGUUCGCUGUGAAAGAACACGGCUCAACCGUGUCGAGCGGCGGAAACUGUGAGACUUGAGGCUGGGAGGGGCUGGUGGAAUUCCCUGUGUAGCGGUGAAAUGCGUAGAGAUGGGGGAGAACACUCGUGGCGAAGGCGGCCAGCUGGACCAGUUCUGACGCUGAGACGCGAAAGCGUGGGGAGCAAACAGG